rnacentral:rRNA from 1 species
AACGAACGUUGGCGGCGUGGAUGAGGCAUGCAAGUCGAGCGAGAAAGCACCUUCGGGUGUGAGUAAAGCGGCGAACGGGUGAGUAACACGUAACCAAGCUACCCUGGAGAUCGGGAUAACAGUGGGAAACUGCUGCUAAUACCGGAUGGUCCUACGGAAUCGCAUGUUUCUGUAGGUAAAGGUUGGGAUCCUGCGGGACCUUCCACUCCAGGAGGUGGUUGCGGCCUAUCAGCUAGUUGGUGAGGUAAUGGCUCACCAAGGCUACGACGGGUAGCGGGCCUGAGAGGGUGGCCCGUCACACUGGGACUGAGACACUGCCCAG